GAGUCGGCUUUUUCGCCCUGACCGCGCUCCUGAUGCCUCCCGGCCGCCGUAGGCGAAGGUUCGCGGAAGAGGGGAGCAGACGCUCGCCUGAGGUUCGCCCAGUCCUGGAGCGCUGACUCAGAAAUUGGAAUGAGUUGUCUGUGGAUCCUGUAAGGAGCCUGGACGUGGUGAAGAGAAUGCCUUGACCAUCAGGAGACGGCUUAGCUUGUUGAAUCUUGAUCACUUCUUCUGACCGCUUUGGAUCUUAAAAGAACAAGGGAUGAUGGUGACUUCUGGUGACAACCAAGAACAGGCUUCAGAAAGAAAGCAGCUGUGUAGCUAUGGCCAAACUGAACUUCUUGAGUCAGUGUCCUCGCUUGUAAAAUGGACAAUUCUACUGAAGGAAAUUGAAGGUCUUACCGACUCCAUCCAAGGAAUUGACAAGAGAUCCGCAAGAAGGUUGCAUAGAGUGAGUGAGAACACUGUCUUGAACUGCUGGGACAUCUGCCUAAGAAUGAAACCCAAGAACAGAGGAAAGCAGACCUAGGAGAAGGAGGGAAAGACAACGUCCCAAUAAUAGCAUUCAAGCUUCUGGAUCCAACCAUGUCUGCUGCCGGACAUUAGUCCUGGUACUUCUUGUUACAUGAUCCAGUGAAUGGCUCCUCGUGCCCUCCUCUCCCCAUAUGUUUCCUCCUUUUUUUGCUUAAGGUAGUUUGAGGUAGAUUUCCAUUGUCUGCAAGUACAGAAAGAUUUCUGGAGUAGAUAGCACCUCAGCUGCAUCUUGAAGGAUGAAUAGGAAAUUCUCAGGAGAAACAGGGAUGGAACUGAGGUGAGUAAGACUUUUUGGGCAGAAGGAACAUAUAAACAGCUUAGGGAGAAAUAUUCUAAGUGAAAUAUUUAUAUAAAAUAACUAUACGAUGGGCAUUUCCAUGGGCUCAGGCUUCUCACUUAGAAAAAUACUCUUGGCUCUCUAUAGCUGUGAGUUCCACGUCUGUGGAUUCAAACAACUGAGGAUUGAAAUAUUGGGGGAAAAAGGAUGGUUGUGUAUGUACUGAAUAUUUGUGGAUUUUUUGUCCUUGUCAUUGUCCCCAAACAAUACAGUAUAGCAACUGUUUACAUAGCAUUGACACUGCAUUGGGUAUAAGUAAUCUAGAGAUGAUUUAAAGUAUGCAGGAGGAUGUGCACAGGUUAUAUGCAAAUCUAUGUUUUUUAAAUUAUACUUUAAGUUCUGGGGUACAUGUGCAGAACGUUCAGGUUUGUUACAUAGGUAUACACGUGCUAUGGUGGUUUGCUGCACCCAUCAACCCGUCAUCUACCUUGGUAUUUCUCCUAAUGCUCUCUGUCCCCUAGCUCCCCACCCCCCGACAGGCCCCGGUGUGUGAUGUCCCCCUCCCUGUGUCUAUGUGUUCUCUUUGUUCAACUCCCACUUAUGAGUGAGAACAUGCAGUGUUUGGUUUUCUGUUCUUGUGUUAGUUUGCUGAGAGUGAUGGUUUCCAGCUCCAUCCAUCUCCCUGUAAAGGACAUGAACUCAUCCUUUUUUAUGGCUGCAUAAUACUAUGCUAUUUUAUAUCAGGGACUUGAGCAGCUGUGGAGUCUGGUAUCCAUGGCAGGGUCCUGGAACCAAUCCCCAGUGGAUACUGAGGGAUGACUGUACAGCUAUAGAGUGGCCAACAUUCAUUUGUAAACAGUACCCAUGAGCCUGUGUCUUUCUGAGUGAAAUCUGUGAGCAAUAAUGAAUUGGGAAAAUACUAGCUUGUUAUGUAGAUUCAGUUGCUUUCUGCUUUUAUGAAGUUCUAAGUGUAGUAGUCACAGGAUCAGCGACAGAAAUGCUACCUUUAAGAAGAAUUUCAAUGUAAUCUAUUGGGGCAUGCUCACAGAAGUUAGGAAAUCAAUCAUGUUUACUUUGUGUUCUUAUUUGUUUAGAAUGGCUGAUAAAUAAGCUUUUUCUGUGUAAUUGCUUAUGAAUAAUGGAACUAUUUUCAGUGGAUCCCUGCCAUUUUACAAAAAACAAACAAACAAAAAAACAAAAACAAAUACUAAUCAGUUUUUUUUUUUUUACCAAUACUUAUACUAAAUGUAAUGCACCUGAAAUUAAAAUGACUCAUUUACAUGGCUUGAUCAGUGAUGACUGAAGCCAUAAGCAAUUUGAAUACAUCACUCUCCUUCCUUCAAGUGAAUCCUUUUUUCCUCUUCUCUCCUACUGAGUAGAUUUACCCAUCCUUUAAUGCUCAUUUCCAAUUCUACUUGCUCCAAAUAGUUGCUUCUGAAUACUACAACAGAAUCAAGCCCCAGAACGUAUUCUCUUCUGAAAACAUGCUUAAGUUUACGAAACACCCUAAGUACUACCUGUUGGCUCGUUAUGAAAUUAAUUUGAAUUACAACUGAAGUUGGGUUCAAGGUCUACUUGGAUGUAGUGUGUGGGGCUUGGGGAGUUUAAUCCCCAUGUCUCAUGUUUUGAUUGCAGAUCAGAUUCUGUAUAUAACUCCCUAGGAAUCCCAUCAAUAUUCUUCAGCCCUUUAUGAAAGGUGUUUCCAGGCAUUGUAGUUUCUUGAGAUGUUAAUAAGUAAUAUGCAAAAAUGGCUUUUUGAUGAAAUACAAAUAUGUUUGAGGGAAAUUUUGCAUUCAGUGGGUCUCCAUAAUGCAGGACUUAUCAGAGCCUUUAAUAUACUUUUAUUUCUUUCCAAAAGGCAGAUAUGGUACAAAGCACUUCACAUAUUAUCUACUGGCCCAUUUCCCAUAGGAAUACUAAAUUCCUUGGUUUUCUAGGCAAAACUGUGUUUUUUUUUUCUGUCUUUGCUCACUAAGUGACUUCUAGAAAUAUCUUUCCAUUGCAGAUACCCAUUUCACUUGGGCGGCAGAGUAUCUCAGGCAUCUAAUUUUAUAAUAAGAAAUGAUUUUGACCCAAGAGACCAUGCAGGUCUGCUGUGACCUUCCAGUUCUUGCUCUUUCUUUAAGAUGUGUCAGCAAUUAACAUUGAAGGAAUUUAUUUCACUGAGUACUGUAUGUUACAACUUCAUCUACUAGAAAGGUCCUUUUUUCCUCCUCAAAUCUUAGUCCAAAAAGAGGCCAACUGUUUUUGCCUGCUGAAUACUUCCAGUCAUAUUUGAAUAUAAGAAUAGUUUUUAAAUAUAUAAUUCACCACGCCUACCCCUACGUCUAUGUAUGCUAAGAGUUGUGCUCAUUUUAAGGUGAUUUCAUGAAAAGUGAUUUCUGUCCCUGUAUUUCGAGAUGCCUGGAAAGACUGUUCAUAUCCUCUUUCAUCCUUAGAACUGGAAGCUCUGGGAGUCAUGAUGUAGUAAGGCUUUGAGCUUUGGAGCAAACCCAACUUGAAUUUGAAUACCCACUCUGUUUCUUACUAACCUUAUGGGUUUGGGAUAGUCUUUUACCUUUCUGAAUCUCAUUCUCUUCAUCUACAAGAUUAGUAUGUUAGUACUGGCAACAUAAAAAAAUGGAGAUGAAUCUCCAAGCAAAGGAUUUAUUUUGGAAUAAUAUAUGAGAAGUAGGAUUGCAAUUUGAGAAACAUAAACCAGAGCAGCCCCUAGAUGUGUCUGAAGAACAAAGGGAAAGGCUGGGGUUGUACUGGAGGAAAGGAAGAAGGUUAUGUAAAUUAUUUUGAAAGGAAAUUCAUUGGUGGCUUACAGGAGCUGGCAGGUUCUGACUGGUGAGCGGUAGCAGUUACUAGGUAAAAUUUGCAGUCAUAAAGUUGUAGCUGGCUGCUGUGGUUUUGGAUUGGGCUGGCGAGAUAAUUCCUGGAGUAGGUGUUUGUGACCUGAGUGUUUUUCCCUCUGGCUCCCAUACUCUAUUUUAGUUGGGUGUGACCAAAAUGACUCCAUUUUGCAUAAUCAGUUUUCACAGCACCCACCCACCUCAUCAUAAAGUUGUGGUCUUCCUAUGCGCUCAUCUUUGCAAGCUGAAAUACAAGAUGAUGGAUAUGGUUUGACUCGAUGUCCCCACCCAAAUCUCAGGUUGAAUUGUAAUCCCCACGUGUUGGGGGCGGGACCUGGUAAGAGGUAAUUGGACACAUGGGGGUGGUUUACCCCAUGCUCUUCUCAGGAGAAUGAGUGGGUUCUCACGAGAUCUGAUGGUUUAAAAGUGUGUGGCAGUUCCCCAUUCUCUCUCUGUCUCUCUCCUGCCACCAUGUAUGAUGUGCCUUGUUCUUCCUUUGCCUUCCACCAUGACUGUAAGUUUUCUGAGGCCUCCCCAGCCAUGUGGAACUGUGAGUCAAUUAAAGCUAUUUUUUAAAUAAA